UCAGAACCCACGAACAUUGGGGCAGAGGAGCAGACUGAGAGAGAGCAGGUUACCCACUGAGCCAUCUCACCAGCCCCUAUCUGUCUUUUUAUCAUCUAUUUAUUUUCCUGUUUUUGUUGUUGGUUGGUUGGUUGUUGUUGUUGUUGUUGUUGUUGUUGUUUUGAGACAGGGUUUCUCUAUGUAACAGCUCUGGUUGUUCUGGAACUUGCUUUGCAGCUCCAGCUGGUCUCAAACUCACAGAGUUCCACCUGCUUCUGCCUCCUGAGAGCUGGAAUUAAAGGAGGAAAGCAGGAAGAAGACAGGUAGCCUUAGCCUGAGGUGGCGACAGUGUAGAAUUCACCCGGCUCAGUUAGAAAGUGGUCUCACCCUCCAGUUUGUGGUCGCAUUAACUGACUUGCAACACUCGUGUUUGAGGAUCUCUGUUUGUGUUUACCAGUGUACCUUCCCCGCGCUUUAAGUGACAAGAACUGACUAAACAAGGACGGACAGAAACGGAACUCCUAACAGAUGUUUCAAUAAGUGCCGCUAAGACACAGAAUGCUUAGCCCGCAUCAAGGUGAAAGCAGCUUGUUCUACUGGGACCGUAGAUCAACAGCCAUUUCUCAGCCUGUGUGCGAGCAACAGAAGCAAUGCUAACAUACAAAUGUGGUGUGG
rnacentral:lncRNA from 1 species